rnacentral:rRNA from 1 species
CGCCAGCAGCCGCGGUAAAACGUAGGAGGCGAGCGUUAUCCGGAUUUACUGGGUGUAAAGCGCAUGCAGGCGGUUCGCUAAGUUGGGUGUGAAAGCUCCCGGCUCAACUGGGAGAGGUCGCUCAAGACUGGCGGGCUCGAGCGUGGUAGGGGAAGGCGGAAUUCCGGGUGUAGUGGUGAAAUGCGUAGAUAUCCGGAGGAACACCAGUGGCGAAGGCGGCCUUCUGGGCCACGACUGACGCUCAGAUGCGAAAGCUAGGGGAGCAAACGGGAUUAGAGACCCCGGUAGUCCUAGCUGUAAACGAUGUGAACUUGGCGCCUGGGGGGUAAAACCCCGGGGUGCCGCAGCCAACGCGAUAAGUUCACCACCUGGGGACUACGGCCGCAAGGUUAAAACUCAAAGGAAUUGACGGGGGCCCGCACAAGC